GAUCCCGUAGCUCAAGUGAUUAGAGCAUCACACGAGAGUGUGCAGGUCGAGAGUUCGAGUCUCUUCGGAAUCA